rnacentral:rRNA from 1 species
GACGAACGCUGGCGGCGUGCUUAACACAUGCAAGUCGAACGGAAAGGCCCUGCUUUUGUGGGGUGCUCGAGUGGCGAACGGGUGAGUAACACGUGAGUAACCUGCCCUUGACUUUGGGAUAACUUCAGGAAACUGGGGCUAAUACCGGAUAGGAGCUCCUGCUGCAUGGUGGGGGUUGGAAAGUUUCGGCGGUUGGGGAUGGACUCACGGCUUAUCAGCUUGUUGGGGGGGUAGGGGCUUACCAAGGCUUUGACGGGUAGCCGGCCUGAGAGGGUGACCGGCCACAUUGGGACUGAGAUAGGGACCAGAAUCCUACGGGAGGCAGCAGUGGAGAAUAUUGCACAAUGGGCGGAAGCCUGAUGCAGCAACGCCGCGUGCGGGAUGACGGCCUUCGGGUUGUAAACCGCUUUCGCCUGUGACGAAGCGUGAGUGACGGUAAUGGGUAAAGAAGCACCGGCUAACUACGUG